rnacentral:tRNA from 1 species
GCCUUGUUAGCGCAGUCGGUAGCACGUCAGUCUCAUAAUCUGAAGGUUGUGAGUUCGAUCCUCACACAGGGCA